GGUUGUAUAGUGUAGUGGUUAUCACCUUGGAUUCUGACCUUCCAGUAACCCCGGUUCGAGUCCGGGUACGACCU